CUAUGAAAACAUCUAUAAACAUGAAAACCACUAUGCAUAAAAUAACUAUAUAAACAUGAAAACCACUAUAUAUACACAAUUAUAUAAAUAUCGAAAACCACUAUGAAUUCUAACAAGAAAACAUCAAAAUUCUGUGAAAAAGAAGCUAUAAACCCACUAUAAAAGACACCAUCUUCUCUCCAAUGAACCCUAGAGCAUAGUCCGUGUAAUCAUCUUCUUCUCGUUAUUUGAAACGUAAACCACUAUUAGAAACGUAAAUCACUACUAUGUCCAAGAAAAAGUGCAAGACCAAUUAUGUUACGAAAAAUUAACGUAAUCCACUUUAAUAAUAACAUAAUCAACAACAAAGUUAUCAAAAUCCACUAAAGACAUACGUAAAUCCACUACUAACACAACUAAAAAAAAACAUAUUCACUAUUCAAAAAUCAGCUAUUUAAAACGUAAGUCACUACUAUAUCCAGGAAAAAAUGCAAGAUCAGUACACCACCACCAACAAGGCCGACGAGGGUCACUGUAUCAAUCUGAUCAAGAAAAAAAUUAAUUUAUAAGAAUUAAUGGUCUUUUUCACAAUAUCGUUAUCAAAUAGGAACCUUCCCCACAAAGCCUAAAACCAUUGAAUAAAGAUGAUUGAAGCGAAAAAAUAAAAUAUUUACCCUUUUCUACCACCCAUAUAUAUCGUUCGGCAACGGUGAAGAGAGAGAAAAUAGAGAUGGGGGCUGGGGCCGACGACGGCCGGGGGCUGGGCGGCGCCGGGCAGCGGCUGGGGCGGCAUCGGGCAGCGGCUGGGGCGGCGCCGGGAGGUGGCUUGGGCAGCGGCUAGGGAGGCGCCGAAGAGAAGAAGAGGUGAGAAGUAGAUCGUGAAAAAGAAAAGAAAAAAGAAAAGAAAAAAAAAUG
rnacentral:lncRNA from 1 species